rnacentral:lncRNA from 1 species
GGCAAGUGCCAACAUUGAGCUAGGAUCUAGAAUGAUGAAACCCAUCCCUGCUUCGACCAUCCAAAACACUAUUGUCAAAGUUGAUUUUAUGGAAGCUAUGAGGUGGAGGUUCCUAGGUGAUGAAGACCAUCUCUGAUGACGCAGAAAUAUUGAAUGAGAGAGAGAGAGAGAGAGAGAGAGAGUUUUCUCUAACUAUCAA